UUAGUCCAAUAAGUUAGGCGCUGCCAUCUUGGAAUGGUGGUGACAUUAUUUAUCAUAAACCCAUCUCCGGGACUUCGCCUCCAGGAGAUCAGAACCGGUUCAAUUUUCAUUUUGGGGGGGGGGGGGGGGUUAUUUGUGAAGCGGAAAUUACAGAGCGAAAUGACAACCACCGGAGCGAGUGAGUGAGGGGAUGGAAGGAAGGGACGUCUCAGUGACCCAGCGAGCGUGGCCGCUUUAAGAGGAGCCGAGCAGAGUAGUCGCUGCAACCCCAGGCUGGGCGUCAAACCACCGCCACCUCCACCGCCGUCUCACCGCGUCUCAAAGGACCUCCCCUCCGGAAAGCUGGGAUCAGAGCGGGUCGAGAACGUGAUUUUGCGCCGUCAUCUAUAUAUAUAUCUAUAUCUAUCUAUCUUGUGUUGCCACAGAUUGCUGAUCUAGCUAAAAAGACGAGGCCACAUUAUCACAUCUCGGAAAAAUCCAUUUACCGUGACAAAGAAUGCGGUCUUUUGUUUAUUUGUUCUAAGGAGGAGAUGCCGGUCGACUCGCUCGUUGCAGAGGAGAUAUUUGCCGAGAUGGUACUCCAGGGUAUUCAGGAGAUGUAUUUCUCAAUCAAAACGUUGGGACCCGUGCAAGACAGAUCAAGCUAAUCUCCAGCCCCCCCCCCCCCCCCCCCCCCCCCCCCCCGUUAUUUAUCUACUGAAGAUUUCUAUCCAUGGAGGAAAGCGAGACGAUUCCUUUACCAGAUCACGAAUUCACGUUGGUUGAAAAUAGAUUCGUCAGCUUUAGAGGGUUUUUUUUUGUUUGUAUUUUAUUUUUUUAAAGUCCAUGUAAGAGGCCGACUGAACGAGGCGGUUCUGGGGCGCGUUUCCCGGCGGCUUCCACAAACAACCUGAAGAAGUGAGACCCGGCUCAUGAUAAGCCUAUUUUCGAAAUCAAGAGGAAUGCAACACUAUCCGGAACACGUGGAGCCGUUUGCAGCUGAGCUGGGCUUUGAUCAAAGUUUCGUUUACAGAUGGAACUGCAGAUGCUGAAGAAACAAAAAUCGAAGGUGGACAGAAAUGCUGGAGGAACUCAGCGGGUGAGGCAGCAUCUAUGGAGCGAAGGACAUGGGAAAUAGGCAACGUUUCGGGCCGAAACCCGGAAGGGUUUCGGCCCGAAACGUUGCCUAUUUCCUUCGCUCCAUAGAUGCUGCCUCACAUCCCCGCUGAGUUUCUGCUAAAGUACCCAGACUAGGUUAGAGUACGUACACAAAAAAAUGCUGGAGAAACUCAGCGGGUGCAGCAGUAUCUAUGGAGCGAAGGAAACAGACAACGUUCCGGGCCGAAACCCCGUUAUUCUUUGGUAAGUUCACGACGUUAGAUCUUGCAAUGGGCUAUUUCCAGAAAGAUUGGCUGUUGCGAGAUUAGCAAGUGGCGGGUCCAAAACCCGGCACACAUUUCUGUACUGAUUCAGUUCUUGCCCUUUAUAAAACAGCAUAAAAAAAUAAAAAAAAUUAAAUCCGUGUUUGCCUUGUGUUGCUUUCCAA